ensembl:snoRNA
CUGAUGCAGUGAUGAUCUUAUAGUUCAACAGAUCAAUAUGAAGAACAAUCUUUCGCUCCUAUCUGAUGCACCAG